rnacentral:rRNA from 1 species
UUGCACGCUGGCGGCAUGCCUUACCCCUGCCAGUCGAACGGCAGCACGGGUGCUUGCACCUGGUGGCGAGUGGCGAACGGGUGAGUAAUACAUCGGAACAUGUCCUGUAGUGGGGGAUAGCCCGGCGAAAGCCGGAUUAAUACCGCAUACGAUCUACGGAUGAAAGCGGGGGACCUUCGGGCCUCGCGCUAUAGGGUUGGCCGAUGGCUGAUUAGCUAGUUGGUGGGGUAAAGGCCUACCAAGGCGACGAUCAGUAGCUGGUCUGAGAGGACGACCAGCCACACUGGGACUGAGACACGGCCCAGACUCCUACGGGAGGCAGCAGUGGGGAAUUUUGGACAAUGGGCGAAAGCCUGAUCCAGCAAUGCCGCGUGUGUGAAGAAGGCCUUCGGGUUGUAAAGCACUUUUGUCCGGAAAGAAAUCCUUGGCUCUAAUACAGUCGGGGGAUGACGGUACCGGAAGAAUAAGCACCGGCUAACUACGUG